AAUGGAAGGCAGAUGUGUCUACCUCAGCGUUCUUUCUACAAAUUAAAGCUAGCUUUCAGCCUCGGUGUACUAUCAAGGUCUUCCAUAUUCCGGGCAUAAGUUCCUAUAAAUCUGAAAAAUGCCAAAAUAAGAUUUUAGCUCAUGAAAAGGCAGAGGUUGAAAGAAAACCAAUAGGUGGGUUCAACGAAUCACAAAAGACCAAAGUACGGGUCAAGUUUUAAACAUCUCAUAGAAAGCUGAGUAAGUAAGAUGUUCAUGAAAACAUAAUUUUCAUGCCUUGUGCGAAAUAUAAGAUACUCAUGAAAAACCUCAAUUCAGAAUCAUAAAUCUCGUAUAGAGAUUCCACUGCACAAAUCAAAUUUAUUGUUUUGUGUUAGACUUUAAGAUUCUUCACAAACGGUUGGUUCUCUAAUUUCUCAGGCACACCUAAAGAAGGAGACUAACCCUCAAUUCGUGAUGAUGUUGUGCAGAGGAGUACAUGCAGUAAACCCAUGACCGAAAAAAUACAAAAUACAUAUCUUGAUGGUCGACGCCGCAUGAGCUUUUGUUGCAGAAAUCAUAUGAAUGAAAAAAAUUUAGACUCUCUUGACAGCUUAAACCGUAAACAAUAGUUGAAGGCACUAAUUAACUUGAAGAGAAACUACUCAACCUAAAACAAAAGUUUUUACUGAAUGUAUCAAUCAUCAAUCUGAAAUAGAACUAAUAAGAUUAAAAUCACCAAACGGAGAUAAUAGAUAGAGGUAAUAGAUAGAGUACACGUCUCUUGGAAUAGUGUCUUCUGCGGUAGAACGUGAACGUUGCCGGUACUGUAAAAAACCAAUCUAGUUAUGAACUCCAGCGAAGGAACAGAACAAACCUCAAGCAGAAACAUGUCGACUCAAUGAGUUCGCCGCCGCGUCAGGCGUUCUUGGCUUCCCAGAAGUGGAGCAACCGGACUUGAAGGGUGGAGGAGCAUCGUCCGGUCAGAUCGGAAAGGAAGAUUGCUGCCUUAGCCAUUUUCUGGAUAUAAUUUCAAUGUCUUGUUUAGAGAAAAUGAGAAUAUGGUUGUGAUAGUAGGAAAGCUUACCCUUUUAUAAUUAAAGUUCCACCGACUCACAUGAAGAGGAUCGCAUUCAAGAAAGAUAGUGGGUGAUGAUUUAAGAAUGACUUUAAAGAUGGGGAUUCUGUAACUGGUAUAGAGCGUUAGCAAGAAGCUGAAUCAUUGAUGGCUAGCCAAAUUGGACAAAUGUAAGGCCCAAAUCAAAUUAAAAACCAUGUAACUGAAAGUUUAAUGAAACGCAACGGAUUUGUGUUUUGGACACGUGUCGAUCGUUGGUAACACUAUUAUCUGACGUGGAUGAAAGAAAAUGAGGGAAUGGUCUUUCUUUAUAUUAAUAGAUUAAUGAUAGGUGUGCACAAUAUUUUUUUUUUCCACGAAAAAGUAAUUUAUUUCAUUCAAAAGAAACACACAAGAGCCCAUAUAGAAAUGGCUACAAGAACCCACACAAGGGUGACUCAAAACAUAAACUCGGAGAUGAAUGAACAAUCUCCAUCCACAAAAGCCCACAUAAAGGCGGCUACUUAAACCCACACCGGGGAAGCUUACAAUACCAAGAAACCAAAACCGACACUAGAUAAGGCUAAGCAACCCGAGCGAAUGAAAAGAUAAUUAGCAGAUUUUAAAUUUUUGUAGAGGCCAAUGAUCGGAAAUUGCAGCUGCUGCUGGCUAUAGCUCGCCACGCGGAAAAUUUCACCUCCUGCACCAUGACUUAUCGCUGCUGCUACACGCACGCAAAACGAUAACGCCCAAGAACUCAAACCCUGCGACUUCAUGACACGACAGGAAGAACCGCUACACGGUCCACAUUGCCUUCAGAUAAUGGUGCGACGCACAUCGCGCCCACUUACUCAUAGAUAGAAGCCCAGAUACAAACUCAACUAAGACGAGGCCUUACCAUACGGACCCUCCAGAACCACAUCCUGAGAACCGAAAAGCGAUCACUGCACCCACCACUCUACGAAUAACCUCUGCUAACCCAACUCUCACCACGCUUUAACACUACCACCACUAACGGAUUCAAAAAACCCACCAACACACUAAGGAAAAUUUUUAAAGACCAAGCUAUGACAGCAAACCAACUGAGAACUAAACAACAACCAACCAACACAAAUACCACAAAGACAAGCCACUAACACAGACAAAAAUAACAACAACAACACCGAAACCUACAACAAAGACAACAAGACCUAGAACUACGACACUCGGGAUUGAAAGACAGCAGCAAAGGGAAUAAGCUAGAACGAUACCGGCGGGAUGAGACUCCGUCGAAAGACACCAAGAGACAGAACUUCUCACGCGCCACCACCUCCUGCACCGGCCCUUCAAACGACGGAUAGAGCUAUAACACACCGAGGCCGGUGAGAGAAACAUCCUCAACAGAUUCACGCGCCGCCUAACGGAGAGGAACACCGGAGAUCUCCAAACGGAAAACGAGAUCUGACAAACCUCAAACCCUAAAAACCGACUCCCUGAACUGACCAACCUUACACGCCUCGCCAGGACUCCAAAGACUGACGAACUCCACAACCGAACGAAACCUCAUGAGCAGAUCGCUGGAGAGGUGAAGUCGGAAGAAACCAGAGCCCCUUGCAUCUUGGACGGAGGAGAGGAACCAGAAGCAGAGAGCAAACAAAGACGAGGACUAAAGGCUAGGAGAGACGCCUCCGACACCGUCUAAUCCGGCACCGGAGAAAGGCGGAGGUUUCUAUUGUUGUUUGCAGAGAGAAUUGCAAUUGGUAUUUAAUGCUCUUCUAUACGUUUUCAAUCUUCAAUGAUAGGUGUGCACAAUAUUGAAUGUUGUGCACAAUA
rnacentral:lncRNA from 1 species